ACAUGCGCACACUUACACAUAAGCAUACUCACAGAUAGGUACUUAUCUGCAUCUAUAAAAUCCUGUUAUAGUAUUUUUAUCUUAUUUUAGCAGAAGUAUGUCUCCUGUUGUCGUUUUACUGCUUCUCCUUUCAGGAGCCGUUCUGAAUACAGCAGCUCCAUCUAAACAAGAAAAAUGCCCAGUGUGUGUGAUACUUAUUUUAUUUAAGAUAUGUGGAACUGAUGGAGUCACUUAUUUAAACUUUUGCGAACUAAAGAGAGCAGUUUGCCUGGGGAAGACAGCGAACGGAGUGCCAGUAAAAACACUUCAUUAUGGUCCAUGCAAAGGAUCCGUGGUUGGAUAAAAAAAAAGGCAAAGAGAACCUUGUUAUAAUUGUGAAAGUGAAUAAAAUAUAACUACAUAAUA